ACUGACACUGAUUUACUUCCGCUCCACUAGGCGGCGUCUGCGGCUUUGACGUUCAGCGUGACUGUGACACCUUUAGAGCCUCAUCAACAACAUGACACUGAUGACAGCCGCCUCGACACGACUGAUUAUUCAUGUUUUGAGACCGUUAAAGUACAGUUACUGCAGAUGACAGCUUAUUUACAGACUCAUUCAACAGCAUGGAUGUCAGCCAUAACGUUAAUAACAAACUACACGCUGUGUUGUCAAGCGUCCAGGAUGUCACUCUGAUCACCUCAGAAGCAUGUGGUCAGACAUUGACUGUAAUGAUGGACAUCUGCUGAGUGACAGAAUUAAUGUUGAACAGAUUAUAGUGUGAUUUCUGGAGCAACACGAGAUCCAUUUCCCCAUUCUCUGUUUAUUCUGCCACUGCUGAUGCACAAAUCCUCCACAAGUGGGCACAACAUUGACACAUUGAUCAGGCUUUCUUCAUUAAAUCUUUAUUAAAUGUGAUGUUUGUCUGUAGAUUGAUGUGUUGAUAUGAUGACCAGUCCUGAGCUUCAC